AAAGCUGGGAGACGGGCAGGAAUAAUCGAGAAAGAGAGAGAGACCAAGAGGAACAAAAAAAGAAUAAUUGCUGGCCGACGAUGUGUAGGAGGUGAGAUACCCUUCUUCAAGUAUGAGGUUUUCUUUCAUAGCCUCAUUUCUUCUACAAUCACAAGUGGGUAAGUUUUAUACAAACUUAAAUUUCUUAUUUGGCUCCAAUAAGUGAUAAAGAAGUUCAAUUUAUUGAUGGUUUAGUAUGGGUAAACUAUUUUUGAAGCUUUUAAGUUAUGUGAAUCAAAUAUUUAUAAAUUUUCGGGUUGGAGCUUUGUUAAUGAAAAAUUCAGCAAGUAAUUGGAUUAAAAUUGAAAUUUAAAUAAAGAAACCAAAAGGUAAGUGAGGAUUUGGGUCAACUAAUGAAUUGUUUGGCACACGUAUAUGUUUAGUGGCUGAAAGUAUUAAGAAGGGAACGUACCUAAUUGCAUAGCUUGAUGCCAGUGCGGAGUAGUAGUAAACUGAUGAAGAAGAGAUCAAUUGUAUUUAACUGGAAUUCGAUUUAGCCUAAAUGUGGUAAGUUCUUUAUUUAGUAAUUUUAAUAUUAUAGAGCAAAUAAAAAGGGACACUAUUUAUAGUGUAAAUUCAAGAUGUUGGAAGGCAGUAUGUUAUUGUGCCAAUGUAGUGGGGAAAUGAAUGUGGAAAAGAUAUUCUGUAAAUAAACCGGUAAAUGGGAAAUUGUGUAUAUAUUGGCAUAUGGAUAUGUGUGCCCACUUGACUAAAAUGGGAAGAAAGAAAUGAAGAAGUAAUAGUUGAGAUUUUGAGGUUUCCCAUUCAUGUAUGGGUUAGGAAAUUGGAUUCGAUAGUUAUUAAUUUGAAUAGAUAAUUCAUUUUUCAGGAGAUAGCGAGACUGGGAAAGCUUGUUGGCGGAAUUAAUCUUUGUUCGAUGCACAAUCCAGUGAGUGGAAAAUAUAAAUAUUUUUAAAGUAUUUAUAAAUUAAGUAUAUUGUCAAAGUACGUGCAAUUAUAUGCAAUUAUGUGUUUGAUUACAUGAUUAUUUUGGAAAUAUUCUUUCAUUAUGAUAUUUGUGGAACUCAAAGAUUAGAUAUGAAAAUAUUUGUGAUGUGGAAUGUGAGACAUGUGAUAUUGAGAUCGACCAGAAAAGUACUCAUGAUUACAUACUUCUUUUAGUUCACUGAGUAGGCUUUGGCCGUGUUCUUACACUGAGGGGUCGAUUGGGAAUGAAGGGGUUGUGACUGUGUACAUAUAGUUUACUGAGUGGGCCUUGGCUGUGUUCUACAAUUGAUUACCAGAGGUCCUUGAGAUCGACUUUCAUUCACGGAGGGGCCAAAGGCUUGUGGCGAAAGUUCUUAGCCCGAGGGACGGAUUACAGAUUUUAGUCAGAUGGUACAUUUCUGGUGGAUUUUUCAGUAUAUUUGAUGUGAUGAGAUUACAGCGUGGUUAUUAGUUAAUAUUUAUAUCAUGAUUUUGAGAUAAUAUUUUACGACCUUAUAUGAAUAUUUCACCUUUGGUAAUAAUUAUAUGAUGUUAUCUUGUGAAUUACCAAAUGAUAUGAAUUUGAUUUUCGAUAAAAAUGUAAAAUUAAAAAAAUAUAUUUAUUUUCAAAUUCUUCCACUCACUGAGCUGUCAACUCAUAUUUUCCUAAAAUUAUUCUUACAGGUAAUAUUGGUCCUUGAUAGCUUGAGGAGCCUGGUGAUUUCAGAGUUAGAGCUACACGACAAAUUGAUGAGUCAAUUUGAUAAAACACGAUGUAAUUUUGGACACAUUGCACUACGUUUUUAUAAACAUUUGAUUUUGUCG
rnacentral:lncRNA from 1 species